CCGAGUUUACAACUCCCAAACCCCUGUGAACAUACCACUUGUUGCCUCGGCGGAUCAGCCCGCUCCCGGUAAAAACGGGACGGCCCGCCAGAGGACCCCUAAACUCUGUUUCUAUAUGUAACUUCUGAGUAAAACCACAAAUAAAUCA
rnacentral:misc_RNA from 1 species